GCACUAAUCCCCCCAGGGGAACCUGGCCCUUAAUUCGAUGAUCCACGAACCUCUUACCUUUCCUAGUUUUAUUUACUUUACGAAGCAAAUAAAGAUCAGCUCGCAUACCGCCGUUUCGUAGUCUGUAUCGUGAGAGGACAUAAACAGGCGCCCUAGCAACCUCGUAAUUUACCGGGGUUCCUCUGAUAAUUCAGGUAAACGUGUGGCCCAUGGAAAGGGGAAGCUGGGUUACAACUGGGGUUUGUAAUGGCGUGACUGCCUUAAGGGCAAGGCAAAAGAGGACUUGGAAGUAAUGGCCUUGGACAAUGAGGCCGUGAAUACUGCUCUAGUGUGUGU
rnacentral:rRNA from 1 species